CUGAAAGCAAAGGCUCCUUUUGUAAAGAGGUGGUGGCAAGUUUGUCUUUAGCCAUGAAGAUGGAGAGAAAUCAGAUAGAACACCUGGUGAAGUGGGUAGUUCUGUAGUUUGUUUGCCCCAGAAAAAUGCCUUAUCAGUUUAUAAAGAUAAAAAUUGUUUAGAAAUGCAUGGCUUUGUUUUAGUGGAAUAAUGUUGCACACUAGAUUAAUUAGACAAUGCAAGCUUUGUAGGAGAGCUAAGGUUAUAGAAAGUUAAAUGUAAAGGAAUUAACCAUAUGUUUUUCAAGCAUUAUUAUAGUUCUUACUUUUUAAAAUAUUUUGGCAGUGAUAAGUCUGAAGCAGAAUUAAACUUGAGGUUGCAGAUGAGAA
rnacentral:lncRNA from 1 species